rnacentral:rRNA from 1 species
CGUGUAGGCGGUUGUCCAAGUUGGAUGUGAAAGCCUUGAGCUUAACUCAAGAAAUGCAUUCAGGACUGGAUGACUAGAGGACCGGAGAGGAUAGUGGAAUUCCCAGUGUAGUGGUGAAAUACGUAGAGAUUGGGAAGAACACCAGUGGCGAAGGCGGCUAUCUGGACGGUUUCUGACGCUAAGACGCGAAAGCGUGGGGAGCAAACA